rnacentral:rRNA from 1 species
UGAACGCUAGCUACGAGGCUUAACACAUGCAAGUCGAGGGGAAACGAUUAUUGGGAAGCUUGCUUUCUGAUAGGCGUCGACCGGCGCACGGGUGAGUAACGCGUAUCCAACCUGCCCAUCACGUUGGGGAUUAACCUUGACGAAGUAAGACUAAUACCCAAUGACGUCUCUAGAAGACAUCUGAAAGAGAUUAAAGAUUUAUCGGUGAUGGAUGGGGAUGCGUCUGAUUAGCUUGUUGGCGGGGUAACGGCCCACCAAGGCGACGAUCAGUAGGGGUUCUGAGAGGAAGGUCCCCCACAUUGGAACUGAGACACGGUCCAAACUCCUACGGGAGGCAGCAGUGAGGAAUAUUGGUCAAUGGACGAGAGUCUGAACCAGCCAAGUAGCGUGCAGGAUGACGGCCCUAUGGGUUGUAAACUGCUUUUAUAAGGGAAUAAAGUGGGAGUCGUGACUCUUUUUGCAUGUACCUUAUGAAUAAGGACCGGCUAAUUCCGUG